GUGAUGGGAAGAAGGGGCCCUGGGGAUGCAGAUGGGAGGGGAGGCAGGAGCCCUGUGGGUUAGCAUGCCUUCAGGAGACUUCCUAAGAAGUUUCUGCUGCUGCUUCUUGAAGUCCAGCUGGUCUUAGUGGGCGCUGGCCCAGGAGAGCAUGGCUGGGCAGGAGCCUCCCCGAGGAUGCAGAGUCCCAGUGUGCACCCAUGGAGGUGGGCACAUGGCCCUAGGGUUCCAAGACACUUCAGGGGACAAGUGGUGGCUUCCGAGGACCAGGAUCUGGUACAGAGGGGCCCAAGGAGCCCACCCGGACGUCUCUGGGCGUCAGUGCCCCUUUGUUGGGUUUUUGCCAUCCCUGCCUGCCCCACCCUGUGACCAGGCUGCCUGGCCCCAGACAGGCGGCAGGCGGUCCAGGGGCACAGAGGGGCUGGGAGGCGGGGCAGCGCUCGAGGCAGCAACCCACAACCACACUCAGCCUCCUCGUCAGUGACCAGUGGGCCGCUGGAAGACGCAGAGGAGGGCGAAGGCGCGGGAGGGGCUGGGAGGGCGGAGGAGCAGCGGGCUGCUGAGUGUUUUCCUGCCAUGGGAGCUGCUGUGACCACGAGGAGGAGGAUGUGGCCCGAGCCCAGUGUUUCCUGCCUGAUAAGCCAGCCCCUCCCCGGGAGCCCGGCCGGGCCCACCUUCACGAAGAGCCCUGCCUAGGGAGGGGCUGGCUGAGGAGGAAAAUCACUUCUCCAGAUUAGCUGGCCCAGGCCGAGCCUUCCUCCCCCACCCCGGCCCCGGCCCUCCGCGCAGCAGCCACAGGAAAUGGGGCUGGGGCCCAGCACGCCCAGAGGUCCCCACCUUCAGAGCACUCAGGCUCCAGGCCCAGGCACUCCGGCCCGGCUCGGAGCCCCGGCGUCCAAGUCCCCCAGGAGCGGAAGCCGUCUUGCUCCAAAGUCAACCAUUUCCAAGGAGGGCAGGGACUGCAAAGCUUUCAUGUGCUUGUCAGAUCUCAUGCCUGGAGCUGGGGCCUAGAAAACUGGUCACUUUAUUUGCAUAGUCAGUCCACGCCCCAGCCCCCUCCCACCUGGCCACUGGUCCGAGGGCACAGAGUGCAGAGGGAGGUGGGCUUCGGAGGCCCCAUCCCAGGCUGGCACAGAGGGAAGGGCAGGGGCUGGCCCACUGGAGACCCAGCUCCCACCCUACUCUGCCCUAAUAGGCUGUGUGGCCCCCGUGAGUCCUGACCCUCUCUAAGUUUCGGCCGCAGCCUGCAACUGGAAGGGUGAGCCACAUAGGAGCUAAGGGCCUCCCAGCAUUCAUGAUUGGUGACUCAGGUCAUGGACUCAGGGCACUUCUAGGAGCAUCAGGGACUGUGGCCAUCCCUAAAAUAAGGACUGAGUUCCAGAGAAGGUAGAGGGGCUGCUCAGAGACACAUUCACAGACACAAGCCCCACCAGGACUGCAGGCCACUGACACUCAGGUGAGCCUCCCGCCACAACAGCAUGGCCCUGCACGGGCCCACUGCCCCGGGCAUUCCACCCCCAAGCCGUGGGUGCCACCUCUUUCCCACAGCCCAGACCUGCUUCUUGACUCGCUGUAAAGGCACCCCCUCCACCCUCACUGGGGAGCUGGCUCUUGGUAAGAAGCGUGCACAAAGGGAGUAUUUAACACCCAGCACAGAGAAGCACGUGCUCACCUGGGAGAAAACAUUUGCCUGGGUGUGGACAGGUCCCCGAAUGUGCUCAGGUAGUGUGCACGCUCCCAUAGAGGAGCAGGCAGCUCCUCUCCCUGUCACAGUGGGGGCGCGUUGCUGUUGACAGAAUGCUUUCGCAUUUGAUAUUUCAUGUGAUCCUUGCAGCAAUCCCGAUGGAGGUAUAAUUAUGCCCUUUCAUGGUGGCGAGGCUGAUGUUCAGGUGGGGCAAAGGGGCAGUGUAAGGUCACAUCUCUGGGAGGCAGAGACGAGGACCCCGCCCAUGGAGCAGAGGCAAGCUUGCUCUCCCCUGGUUCCUGCCCAGGUCCGUGGGCUGACUCCCAGCCUGCUCCUGGGUGAACAUCCACCCUCCACAGCUGAGCCUGCACAGCUGGUGGGCGGCUGGGAGGAAGGUGGGGCAUUCUCUGGGCAGCGAGACUGCCUGCAGCCCAGCCGAUGGCACAAAGCAGCCCUCCCUCGUCGGGAGUCUCCUGGUCAUGGGAGGCUUGAAUAUGGGAGAGGUGGGUAAAGGAAGGAAGAUUGGAGUCUAGGCCUUUACAUCUUAUGUUCUGCAAGGCUGGCCCAGCCGCUCGUCUGCUGGGUGACCUUGGGCAAGUCACUUUGCCUCUCUGGGCUUCUGUAAAUUAGGAGACCUGACUUGACAGUUUCCAGGGUCUAGAAUACCCUAGUUCUCUGAGCCUGUGAAAAGGGAGCAAGGAAAGAGGAGAGUUCCCCUCCUCUCUCCUCCUGGCCUCAGCGUGGGUGUGGUCUCUAGGGAGGUGGCAGAGGUGAGUGUCUCUGGGCGACGGGUCUCCCUGCACAGAGCUGGAGGGUGUGCUGGAGCUUCAGCUCCUGCAUCCAGGCCCUGAACACCUCCCCUGCCCAUGGCAUCAUCCACUCCUGCCUGCCGCCCAGCCUCUGUCGCUAGGUCAGGGCAUGAGGUCCCCAGACACCUGGCCUGGCUCCAUUCCCAUGUGUCACCAUGCCCCCGCUCACCUUCUUGGAGGUCUGCCCCACUUUGCCCGUGUCGCCUGAUCUCUCUCCCUCUCCCUACAGUGUGUUGGACUGAAUAGGAUGGAGCAAGAGGCCUUUGUCAUCUGAGUCCACCCUUGGAGGUCCUCACGUAACCUGGACCGCAGGAGCACCCUCCCAGCUGGGCAGGACCUGGUGCGGAGGCAGCAGCUGGUCUCCUGAGGGAGGCUGGGCCUUUGUGGCCCAUGGAGACUCCUGGACUCUGUCCUCCCAAUGCCACACUACUGUCCACCCCAGGCCCUCACCACAGUCCCUCACUGGCUGUCACCCUGAGCCUCUCCCCCUCCAAUCCAGCAAGAGGUUCCAUAAGGUACAUACAGAAAACUUGGAAAUACAGAGACGCAACAACAGAGACAGAGAGACAGAGAGAGGAAGAGAUUCCCUAUAAUCGCACGAUGCAAGGAUGCCUUCUGUCAACACUGUGUUGUGCUCCUUCUAGACUUUUUCUCCAGGUGUAUGUGUGGGCUCACACAAGUAUUUUUAAACUUUCAUUUUUUAAAUUUAUUUAUUUUUGCUGGCGAAGAUUGGCCCUGAGCUAACAUCUGUGCCCAUCUUCCUCUAUUUUGUAUGUAGGAUGCCACCACAGCAUGGCCACCAAAGAGUGGUGUUGGUCCACGCCCGGGCCACCGAAGCAGAGCACACCGAACUUAACCAAUAGGCCAGAGGCCCCUGAACUUUAUUGUAGAAUAUUGGGAUUACAUUGUUUCAUGAACUCGCUUUUUAAAAAACUGAAAAUGCAACCUGAAUAUGUUUGUGCAUCAAGGCACACCUCUUCCUGGGUGAUGAGCAUUCUGUUGUGGGCUCUUCUAGAAGUCCCUUUAUGUUCCCCAUGUGACCAGACCCCACGACCGCCCUGCAGUUUGCCCAAGAAGCCUGAGCUGCCCUCAGUGAGGACGUACCUCUUCUCCUCCAGAGCAGUUCAACUGCUCGUCACCCCUGACAAGCAAAGUCUAUGCUCCUGACCUUCCGUGGUUUCUCAGCCUUCAGCUGUGCCCCUUCCAGAAGCACAGCCGCCCCUAGGACUCCCUCCCGUGUAUGUUCCAGUCACCCCAGAAGCCUGUGGAGCUCUCUUUUCAGGGGUGCAUGCUGUGAAAAUAAGCAGGCAUUGUGUUCCCGUUCUGCAUGUAGGUUAUAUUCUUCCACUGAAUAGCAGUUUCACACGGCAUGUUCCCUGCUCUGCCGCAUCGUCUGGACCCCUUCCCACUCAGCUAGCUGCCAGUCAGCUCUGGGGGACAGGGCCCUCUGGCACAGGUAUGGCAGGCUCAGACGCAGGUGGUGAGGGACACAGGGAUGCUCACUUUCAAUGCCACUCGGAAUGGCCAGGAGGGAAGUGACUCGUCUGAGGGUUGCUCGGUGAGUCAGCAGCUUGGCCCGGCUGCCCUGAGAGUGCUGGGAAUCCGCCCCGGGCCCAGGGCUGCCAGGCCUCAGCCUCUGACGUGCACUGUCUUGCUCAGGGCGGAAACCUCUCUUCCUGGGAAGGAGGGGCAAAGGCCCUGGGGUGCCUCUGGGCCUGGAGAUGCCUCCCUCUGCUAGCCACUGCACAGGGGCUUUUGGGUGGCAUUUUCCUGUAUGUGUCUCCUGUGUCCAGCCAGACUGUGACUAUGCAGGACAUGGUCUUCCUGUCUCCUGUACCUUUCCAGGUUGAACCCUUGCCAGCCAACUGCUGCCAGGGACAGAAAGUGUGCACAGAGGGCAGAGACUUGGGCCUGGCUCUCAGCAAUCCAGUAGCUAGAUGUGAGACCCAGGUGUUCUGUGCCAUUGAUGUGGCAGAUCAAAGAUGGCUAAAAAUACUCUGUCAUCCCUGCACUGAGAGACAACUAUCAGCUCCUGCUUGCAACCAGCCUCCAUGUUGUGAGGAAGCCCAAGCAGCCAUGUGGAGAGGCCCAUGUGGAGAAUCUAGGCUCCAAGUCAACAGUCUCAGCUGACCUCCCCGUCAACAGCCAGCAUCAACUUGCCAGCCAUGGAGGUCAAGCAUCUUGGAAGUCGAUCCUUCAGCCCGACUUGAGCUGUCCUAGCUGAUGCCACGUGGCGCAGAGACAAGCUGUCCACAGGAGCCCUGCCCGUACUGCUAAAUCAUGAUUGCUGUUGUUUUAAGCCACUAAGUUUGGGGCCAGUUUGUUAUGCAGCAACAGAUACCUGAAACAGAGCUAGUGCUGGAACAUGGGAACUCAAAGAUGGAGACAUGUGUCUUAGCCUACGUUCCUCUCAGAAGCAGACCUCACUCAAAGGUUUGCUUGCAGUGUGUGGUUUCUUUGGGAAGUGAUCUCAGAGAGCAGGAAUGAAGACCAAAGACAGGAAGUUAGAAAAGCCAAUUUGAGGUUUGUCCCUGUGUCGUCCACCACUCCUGGUGAUUGGUGCUUGAUCCCACUGGGGUCUUCUGAGGAGCCCCAUAGAGCGAGUCUCAGAACUCUCUGCAUGAGGGAUGAAAGGGAGAAGCAUUCAGGAAGGCGGGCUCCAAACUGCCAUUGACCAGGCUGCUUCAUGGGAUGUUAAACCCCCUGCACUUCUAGGAUGUAUAUGUGUGAAUGUCACACUGGUUCCUGACGGUGCUGCAUGCUGUGACGUCAGAGAAGUCCCCUCGCAGGAAGCAGAAGACAUCUGGCAUAUGCUGGAGAUGAGGUGUUGUCAGGAUGCGGUGGACAAAAUCUGCACAAGGACAGUUUUCUGUAGCCUUGGCUGGAGCCAGAGGUGAGGCCGUGAGAAUGGGAGGUGGCCCAUAAGAGGUAUCCAGGAUGACAUGGACCUUUGAGAAACUGGCCAUGUUGCCCCUUCUCAGCAUGUGGGCAGUGGCUAUUCCAUGAAGCUGUCAGGCUAUCUUGGUUGUGCUGAAGGCUGGAGUUAUUCUAGGCUUUGCAUCCCAACCACCAGCAAUCUCCUGGUUCAGAGUUUGAAAUUGAGUCUCUUCCCCAUGCCUAAGACAUCCACCUGGUAUUGUCCUCGGCACAGUAGCUACUGGCCCAAGUGAGUGCUUGUUGCAAAGAGUUUCGAGCAGCACUGCCCAACUUUCCCCAAUAGCUCUGUCCUUGUUAGAAAAGUUCCAAGGCCUUUGUCCACCUGUCUGGCCUAAAUCGUUCACAAAAACAUUAGAGGCAUUUGGAGUCUUCCAAAAGAAAACACCUCAGGCCAGCUUACAGGAGAGCCUCUGGGCAAUUUCAAGCUAUUCCUCUGUGGCAGGGGUCAUGGAGACGGCAUUUCCAGAUUCGGCUGGAAAUCUGAAACUCAUAGGAAGGACGACCUCCUGAGAAACUCUUCUGGGAUGAUGGGGCCUGGAGAACAUGGUCUUACUGUAUCAGGUUCAGCAAGCUAGGUCCCUGUUCUCGCUCUGGCCCAGGUGCCAUGGAACCUUGGCUGGAAGCCACGUUGCCACGUUCUUAGGAUGCUGGAGCAGGAAGGCGCCUCAGAAAGGAUACACGGGUUACCUACUCCUUACCUAAAAAAUGUCGGCACUGGGAAUGGCCUCUGCUUCCUCAGCCUUUUGAGUAGGUAUAAAAGAACUUUACAGAAAAUGUCAGAAAGCCCUUUGGGCUCUUUGGAGGACAUUUUACAAGUAUUACUGUGAAGAACUAUAAUAAUAAAACAUUAAUGGUGGACAGAAGUUUGGACUGAAUGCAUUUUAUGGGAGACGCCCUAUUGAGCGAGUGGGAAUGAUGACACUGCUGUUGGGUGACGUUUUCUCA
rnacentral:lncRNA from 1 species